rnacentral:rRNA from 1 species
AUGAACGCUGGCGGCGUGUCUUAGGCAUGCAAGUCGAUCGGUGCCGCAAGGUAACCGAGGCAGACGGGUGCGUAACACAUUGGUAACCUACCUCGAACUUGGGUAUAACCCGGCGAAAGCUGGAGUAAUUCCCAAUAUGCAUGGGGGGACGAAAGUCAUUCCCAUGGAAAGGCUUGUACGGUUCGAGAGGGGCCUAUGGCUUAUCAGCUUGUUGGUGAGGUAAUGGCUCACCAAGGCUAUGACAAGUAGCGGGCGUUAGAGCGCGACCCGCCUCACUGGGACUGAGACACUGCCCAGACUCCUACGGGAGGCUGCAGUCGAGAAUAUUCCCCAAUGCGCGAAAGCGUGAGGGAGCGACGCCGCGUGACUGAAGAAGCCCUUCGGGGUGUAAAAGUCUUUUCCAGAGGAAAAAUCCGUGCUACUACUCUGGGAAUAAGGGGCUGCUAACUUCGU